GGGCCAGUAAAGGUUUCGACAGGGAUCAUAAAGCUGGAGAAGCGAGCCGCACGGAAUGCGUCAAAUGCCAAACUUAAAUUAAACGCUAACGAUAAUUUAGCAUACGCUGCCUAGUUGCAGCAGUCCGCCCCGGGGCACCUGCACCUUGGGAACCGGGCUUCGACGAUGCAGGAAACGACACAUAUUAAGCUUUGCGUAUGUGGGCGUACCAUGAAGCUACUAAAGCAGGGAUUGUGUUUAUUCAAGCCUUGUAGAGGGAAUGUCAAAAAAUAAACUACGCUCGUAGAAGGACAGGGGAGUGGUUUUUGGACACGGGUUCGAUUCCCGUCUGGUCCAUUA
rnacentral:tmRNA from 2 species